rnacentral:rRNA from 1 species
CACGUAGGGGGCGAGCGUUGUCCGGAUUUAUUGGGCGUAAAGAGCUCGUAGGCGGCUCCGUAAGUGAGGUGUGAAAACUCCAGGCUCAACCUGGAGACGCCACCUCAUACUGCGGUGGCUAGAGUCCGGUAGGGGAGCAUGGAAUUCCUGGUGUAGCGGUGAAAUGCGCAGAUAUCAGGAGGAACACCAGUGGCGAAGGCGGUCGUCUCUGGGCCCGGUACUGACGCUGAGGUGCGAAAGCGUGGGGAGCAAACAGGA